rnacentral:rRNA from 1 species
AUACGGAGGGUGCAAGCGUUGUUCGGAAUUACUGGGCGUAAAGCGCGCGUAGGCGGUUUGUUAAGUCAGAUGUGAAAGCCCCGGGCUUAACCUGGGACGUGCAUUUGAAACUGUCAGACUUGAGUAUUGGAGGGGGUGGUGGAAUUCCCGGUGUAGAGGUGAAAUUCGUAGAUAUCGGGAGGAACACCGGUGGCGAAGGCGGCUACCUGGACCGAUACUGACGCUGAGACGCGAAAGCGUGGGGAGC